CGGGGAUGUGUUAGACGAAUGAUUUUGUUUUAUGGAGCUUUGAAGAGCGAUGAAUGGCACUAAAGUGGUGCCAAAUGGAUAUCUCAAACACCCAUUGUUGAUGUGUGAUGCUGAUAAUACAGAGACAGCUAGAGUGACAGAGUUUGAUGAAUAAACUUAAAUUAAAAAACAG